GAUGAACGCUGGCGGCGUGCCUAAUACAUGCAAGUCGUACGGGAAGGCCCUUCGGGGUACUCGAGUGGCGGACGGCUGAGUAACGCGUGGGAACGUGCCCCAAAGUGAGGGAUAACGCACCGAAAGGUGUGCUAAUACCGCAUAUGGUCUUCGGAUUAAAGCUUCGGCGCUUUGGGAGCGGCCCGCGUACGAUUAGAUAGUUGGUGAGGUAAUGGCUCACCAAGUCGACGAUCGUUAGCUGGUCUGAGAGGAUGAUCAGCCAGACUGGGACUGAGACACGGCCCAGACUCCUACGGGAGGCAGAAGUAAGGAAUCUUCCACAAUGGGGGCAACCCUGAUGGAGCAACGCCGCGUGCAGGAUGAAGGUUUUCGGAUCGUAAACUGCUUUUAUAAGUGAAGAAUAUGACGGUAACUUAUGAAUAAGGAUCGGCUAACUACGUGCCAGCCGCCGCCGUAA
rnacentral:rRNA from 1 species